rnacentral:rRNA from 1 species
CCUACGGGAGGCAGCAGUGAGGAAUAUUGGUCAAUGGCCGGAAGGCUGAACCAGCCAUGCCGCGUGAAGGUCAGUGCCCUAUGGGCGUUAAACUUCUUUUGUGCGGGAGCAAUAAUGGUCACGUGUGGCCAGACGAGAGUACCGUACGAAUAAGCAUCGGCUAACUCCGUGCCAGCAGCCGCGGUAAUACGGGGGAUGCCAGCGUUAUCCGGAUUUAUUGGGUUUAAAGGGUGCGUAGGCUGUGAGGUAAGUCAGCGGUGAAAUGCCCCCGAUCAACGGGGUGAAGUGCCAUUGAUACUGCCGUGCUGGAAUGCGGAUGCCGUGGGAGGAAGGUGUGGGGGAGCGGUGAAAUGCAGAGAUAUCACACAGAACACCGAUUGCGAAGGCAUCUCACGAAUCCGCGAUUGACGCUGAUGCACGAAAGCGUGGGUAUCAAACAGGAGUAGAUACCCGGGUAGUC